ensembl:lncRNA
ACCGAAUCUAAGUUUUUGAUUUUUGUUUUUAGGAGACAAAGUCUUGCUUUUAGGCUGGCCUUGAAGCUGGUUUCUCCUGCCUCAGCUUCUCAAGAAGUCAUUGUAGUAGUGCAGGCUUGCUACCUUCCCUGCUAGCAGGUGUUCAUUUGUACUUGUGUCUUUUUACUUGUGUCUGUAGUUCAAAUAAUUUUGAAGCUCAUCAAUCAUUGCACUGACUUACUGGCUUUUGUGCAGCUUAGUCCAUUCACAUUUUAGCUUUUUGAGGUUUUAGAUAUUGAAUAGCUCUUGAAUAUCUCUGGGUAACUAAUUUUCAGUUUGCAAAGCUAGUGAACUAAAGGGAAAGAUGGUGUAACUUUUGUGUAAGCUAGCACUAGGGAGAAUAAACAGUGUAAGUCAUCAGUGUGCAUUUCCAGCUUUUGUGAACUGUGAGGUCAAGGUUAGCAUGGAUGAGUAGAUAUCACAUGUAUUAAUAAGGAAGACUCUAAAAUGGUGUUUUAUUUGCUAGCUUUUUGAUAAACAUAGAAUUAUACAAAAUCAGCUAUGUUAUAGAUUUCAUAUCAAAAAUUGGAAAACAUCCUCUAGUUUACAGCUAGAGUGGAGAUUAAAGAAGAUACUUGUUGGGAAGGUAGAGAAAGCUCAACUUUUAAGAGUAGUUGUUCUGCAGAGAGAGGAUCCAGGCUUAGUUCCCAGCACCCAAAUGAUGGUUGCCAUCUGAAAUGCUAGUUCCUGGGGAAUCCAGUAAGCUGUUUUUUGAACAGCUUAGGCACACUUUGAGGGCACUGGGCACACAUGUGGAACAUAUAUACAUGUAGGAAAAACGCCAAGACACAUAAAAUAAAAAUAAAGUCUAAAAAUAAAAAAAAAUUAUUACAAGUUAAGAAACAUAUAAUGUUUUUAGUUUUUAGUUUUUUUUCAAGACAGGGUUUUAUUAUGUAACUGACUCAGUUAUUAUAUUAUUAUGAACUCACUAUUUAGACCAACUAGCCUGGCCUCAGAUUUAGAGAUUUGCCUGCCUUUGCCCCAAGUGCUGGGAUUAAAGGUGAGUGCUACCACCAUCUGGCUAUAAUGUUUGCUUUUAAAGGAAAAAUUAGGCACAAUAUGAGUUAAGGUCUGAGAAGCAAACUGGGGGCCUCUGGAAGAGUAGCAAGCCACUAACUACUGAGCUGUCUCUCCAACCUCCAAGUUUAAUUUUUAUUUUACCUAGUAGCAGCAUUUGUCAUGGUCGAUACCUUGCCUGUGGAAGAGGCUUUGGAAUUGAACCAGCAUCCUCUGAGAGAAGCCAACGGUUUCUCUGUGUAGCCCUGACUUUCCUGGAACUGGAACUCACAGAGAUCAAGAGUGCUGGGAAUAAAGAGAAUGUCCUACCACUGCUUACUUAAUGCUUUAUUGACAUCUUAAAGUGAAUUUUUCUCAGAAAAAUUUUCAACUUUUGCCCAAUCUUUUUUUUUUUUUUUCUUUCCUUUUUUUUCAGAGCUGGGGACCGAACCCAGGGCCUUGCGCGUGCAAGGCAAGCGCUCUACCGCUGAG